AACACUCCAUCUUGAUUUCUAAGUUAAGUACUUAUGGUGUGAGAGGAAUAGUAUUGAACUGGUUAAGCAGUUAUUUAGAUAAUAGGUUUCAGUAUGUGCAGUAUUUAGGCAGUUUAUCUGAUAGAAUGGAAAUAUAAUGUGGGGUCCCUCAAGGUUCUGUUUUAGGACCAAAACUUUUUAAUUUAUAUAUAAACGACAUUUUUGAUCAUUAGGAGUUGGUGGCGUUUCUCUGGUGUGGUGUCAUGGGGUUUGCUUCUGUUUUCAGCACAGGUAGGCGGGGCCGUGUGUCACGGGAUGUUGGCACACCGGGGUACAUCAGACGUCAUUUGAUGGAGGGUUAUUUAGGAGCAGCACGACAGACGUCUGGUGUCGGAGUAUUGCCACCUCCUCGAGUGCCGGAUCCAUCACCCGCUUGCCUGUCAGCUGUUCGUGAAGCCGCAUUUCUGGGAUCACUACAGAGAUCAAUCUCAGCUUUUCUCUCACAUCCCAUCCACCCUGCGUGUGCGGGUUACCCCUUUCCCUCUGAAUGCAUGUCAGCCCCCUUCCCUGGUUUCCCUCUGUUUAUUUAUGAGCGUACAUAUUCCAUCCUGUUUAAAUAAGUUUGACAC